rnacentral:lncRNA from 1 species
AAAAAAAAAAAAUCUUCCCCGGUACAUGAAUCAGCCAAACUAUGACGUGUUGAACUUAGUAGGAUAUUAAUGUACUUGCUAUGUCCGAUCUCUUAUUGCUAAUCAAUGCGAAAAAGCGAUGAAUCUGUAUGAGCUGGACUUGUCCCCUUCGAAGAUAAAGGGAAGAAGAUUCCGCCGUGUCACUUCCUAUGAACGAGUAAAGAGCCAGGCCACUUGGCCUGAAUGGCUAGAAGAUCAAUUCUCUUGGCGUGCGAAGGAACAAAAUUUUUCAUCUCAUCUUCUUAUUUAUCUAUGUUUUGAAGGUUACGGAUCAGAAUCUUUAACGGAGUACAAAUAUUGAGCGAGCAAACAUAUUAUUUGUUUUGGGACAGCACCUGAUGUCAUUGCCAUUUUCAAUGCAACUGCAUGAGGAUGCACCAUAUAUUCCACGGUUACGUAGGCAUAUCGAGAGAGAACCUGGCCUUCGGAAUAUUGUCCUUAAAGGAAGCAGAUGUGUCGUCAUACGGAAUUUCACUAAAGACUCUUUUUCUUUUUAAAUAACUCAGGAGAUCGUACGACCGCAGGAUUAAGAAAAGGAUGGCAAGUGGAUGGGUAUAGAAUCGCAUUGGAGAUACCCGGCGGGACAGAAGAUAUACUUCGAGGCUACAUUAUGUUGCAAAAUAAAUUUUAAGAGAAUAAGAGAAUUGUUCCGACGGAUGAUGAUUUGUUUGCAUUUGGUUGGAGCAGUAGAUGGGAGGGGAUAAGGAUAGAGGGAUAGUUGCUCUAAUAUGCAUUGAAUUUCAUAAUGAUUCAGAUUUUAUCACUGGAAUAAAUUAAUCCCUACUGUUUGGUAUUUUUGAGAGUGGACAGGAGUAGAAAAAUAAUUUUUUUAAAUAAUAUAGUUAUUAUGUGAAAUAAGUUUCCAUCCAAUUUCAUGGAAUAAGUCCCAGUCUUAACUUGAAGUUGACUUUUGACAUAAGUGGAAGAGAGAUCUGCUGAGAUAUUAUGAGACGGGAAGAAGCCUUUUUUAUGGUGCCAAAGUAUUUAGCCUAAUCAAUACAAGUUGGGGGGCAUUCCACAUUAUUCUACAAGGAAGCGCUACAUUAACCUUGCCCAGUAGCUAUUGGAUUUUGAUGCGGGUGGACUGACUUUUUGCUCGGCCGCAUUAACUUAAAUUUGAGAUAUUCUUGGUGGCUCAGGAACUCAACCAACAAAAAUAACUUAAAUUUGAUGAGAGGUAUAUUCAUAGGAUUGUCAACCGUCAUUACUUGUUUUCUUGUCGGCUCAGCUGGUUGGAAGGAUGGAUAGCUAAAUUUAUGUUGGCUGCAGGUGCCGUGCAAUGAGGUUCGCCAUGGUUACCUUAAGGUGCGCACUGCGCCUUAAAACGGGCGUACAAGAUCGGCAACGCAUCCGCACGGACACCAUGCUUCCGAAUGGACGAUAAAUUAAAGUGACCGGUUGAAAAUUCUUCCGACCAACAUAUUCUGGCUUUUCCGGCCGGAGGCGUAGAUUGGCCCGCCCUUUUUAAGCGACGUUAGCCGGAUGAGAAAAUGGGUUCCUUCACGCCCAGGCUUUUUUUGACUUUCCUAAUUCCUCGAGAAGGUUUUCCAAAUUGGCGGCAAAAGUCAUGGCAUCCGAAACGGAUUGGAAUUAGUACGUUUUUAUCUCGGGCGAUGGCCGAUGGAUGGAUGGAGCCUCCACCAGCCGCUCCAUGCUUAAGAUUCAGUGGUUAGCUCGGCAUCACGGCUCUUUUCCUGUUUCUUUUUAUUAUUAUUAUUUCUUUUUUUUUUUCCCCCAAAGAUGUUGAUGACUCCUUUCCUUUUGACAACGCCCACCACACAGCAGCUUAUGAUCAGAUUAGUAAAUCGCCGGAAGCCAAUGGAAGCCCUGAGGAUCUCCUGUAGUGUGUUAUAUCAAAACGGCCCGUAUGCGUGGUGCGAUGUAACGCUGCUGGGCCGAGUGGGGGGAAUAAUUAAAGGUGAGGGAGCCUUCCUUUAUCUAUUCCCCCCUAAUCCAUGAGUGAAGAGUCGGAACCCUUCCUGUCUCCAAAUUGAGGGAGGGAGGCAGGCCCGCCCACCUUCUCAAGGCCCCCACCAGCGCGAUACCAUUCCCGUCCCCACGAAAAGAUGCGCUUUUCCCCCGAAAAUAGAACAUUGAAUAAUAUCUUACCACCCCGCCCAAGCAAGCAAAAGGCGCCUCACGGAGGCUGUGGAGCUAGCUUCGAGCCUCGAGUUCCGGGGGGCUUUUCUUAAAGAAUAAAAGGGCGUUUUGUUCUUCCCCCUCAACGGUGACAGGGAGUGAAUAUCACUGGAUAGACACUGCUAGGAGCACCGGAUGUUUCCUCUAGCCAAUCACAGAAGGGUCUGCCACGACAUGGUCGCAGCAUGGUCUGCCUUGAUUCGGUCAAGCUCCUGUAUACAGCCCGCUCUCUCCAAAGUCCAAAGCCGCGCCUCCUACCGAACUACUCACUGGGAGCACACCAAGCACCGCACUUAACCAGAAAGGCUUCGCAUUGAGGUAUAACCUUGAAGCAACCAGAUUAUCUGAGGGCCCAUUUCGUAUUGCGUUUCUUUUUCUAUUCUUUGUUUUCAAAAACUUAAGAAAAUAAAUGAGCCAGAUUUAACGUGCAUGAGAAAACCCUUCGAUUUUUUCUUUUUCUUUUUCUGCAAUCGUUUGUAAAGCCCUUAGAGAUUUUGGCACCAAAAUUUUCUUGCUCUCAAAAAGGAGUAAAAAUAAAACAGGGAACAUCUGAAUUUUUUCGCAAAUGCUUCCUUCAACAUCAAUCUUUGUAUGGUAUUUGACUAAGUUGCAAAAAAUAAAAAUCCCAGCAUGCUGCAAAUUAAUCAAUAAUUUGGAUUUUUAAUCUAAAUAGUCUAUAACUAGUUGUAGUCAUGAGUUAUAUUAUUACCGUUCGUAUGUAUUUGCCCGACGCAAAAAGAAUAGAAUUCCAAAGCUUAAGCAAUUCCGAGAAAGGAUGGGUGGUCAACCAUAGAACCUGUUCAGCGAUGGCUGUGAUCUUUCAAUAACAGCAACCUGAACCCCACAAGAAGCAGGAUAGCCGGGUGACUGCUUCAUGUAAGGAGCAAUUAUAUGAAGCAUGUUUCAGCAAUUUUCAGUGACCAUAAGGUAUUCCUUCCUCCAACCUUUUGGUGUUCAGAAUCGUGAAUUACCAUGAAAUCGACUGGUGGUUGCAGAAUAAAACAAGGCAUUGCAGAUUGAAGUUCACAAGAGAACCUCAAGCAAAUUCUAUUACAGCUUGCACAGACAGGUUGGUUCCAGAGUCAAAAAGCUGAGUUCGCUCUGGGACUAGAUACAAGACAAGACAAGACAAACAGAAGCAGCAGUUCUACAGUCAUAAUCCUCAAGAAACCUAGAUAAUAUUUACCCCUGCAUCCAGAAGCACACGAAAAGGCACCAUGAUCGCCCUAGGCCUGCAACAAACAAACAAGAUAUUGAACAUAGAAGGCGGGCUGCAACAAACACAUGUCAAGAAAGAAUAGAAUGACAUGGAAUAUUUUAAUGCAGCUUGGCAUAAGCUCAACACUCCAUUAACAUUUGAGUCCAAGGAGAGAAAAUCUGCCCUGCCUCUAAAAUUCUCUGCUCUAUUUGAUAUGCAAAACCUCUUCUCAUGCCUAAUCUAAACACUCCACAUUAGCGCGCGCACUUCCUUAUGGACCUACACAAGGAUAACUUUCCAGAAACCUAAUUAGUGUCUUAAUAGACAUACUUCACAACACUAAGACAAAUUAAAUAUACUUUUCACCAGCAGCAGCACUAAUUGUAGCACACUAUUUUUGAACAACUAAAUAUCUAGCGCAUCACCUUUGAAGAGAUAUUUUGCAGCAUCACCUUCCUGCUUCCAGUUUGGCGGUCAUCUACAAAUUCACUUUCUAAUACAACUGAUAGUCAUCAUGAUCAAGCUGAAAUGAAGAGCCUUGUCAAAGAACUCCUGAAAAGACCCAGGUCUCAUACCAAAUGUUAAUGUCCUGAAGGAGUUUUGUGCACUUCCUAAAAGGCCCCCCACCCUUCUUCAUAUUCUGUCACGUUCCUCAUUAUGCCACUGCUUACAGUUUACGGUUGAUAUAUAGUACCACUGAGUUGGCACCUUAUAUUGACUCACAAGAACAAUGCAGCUACCAACAAUCUGCAGCUGACAGGAAUAUCUGAUGGCAAGAACCUUUGACUUUGAUAGUAAUUCUAUAAAUUAAUGAGCUAAUUAUCAUAUGACAAAAUCAAACCUCCAAUCAUGAACCCUACAUGGGCAACAGAAAUAAAGGUUUUUCCAUCUCUCAUGAUGGUGGUCACCCAGAAACUUCUUUGCAGUUCUCAGGAUGCCAUAGAAAUUACUCUGGCAAAGCCCCACAAAUUACCCCUUUGUCAGGCUGCGCACCAAGCCCCAGCUAGGUACAACAGUUUGUAUCUUUCCAUCUACUCCUGCUUCAAGAACAAUAUAAACAUGCUUUGAAAGGUAAAGAAAUUAUGUCAUUUAAUGCACCCUCACCCAUACCUUCUGACCAAUAACCACAUAAAAUUUUAAAUUUGUUUUACAUUUAUAGCCUUCUCAAAAACACAAAGAUAUGCAUUUAACCUCCAAGCUAAGAGAUAAAAUAAAGACAAAGUUAUGGUAAUAUCAAGUAAAGACCUUGUUAGCGAUGUUGUUGGAAAGCCAAUCCAGCCCUUCAUAAAGACCCUCUCCAGAAGUUGCGCAGGUGCUCUGAAUGUACCUGAAAAUCGAAGAAGAGCAAAUUAACUCUUUGUAAGAGGAAAUACCCAGAUAAGAAAGCGUCAACAUGAAUUAGUUGGUAAGAGUAUCAAAAAAGACAGAAGGUAUACCAAUGGCGUUGGCGCAAAGAGUGAAGACCAAGCUUAUCAGUGAUCUCUGCUGCAUUCAUAGCAUUUGGAAGAUCUUGUUUGUUUGCAAACACAAGUAAUACAGCAUCUCUCAGUUCAUCCUGUCAUAUUGUACAACAUUGAGUCCAUUAUUUCUUCCCUGAUAAUCAUUUCAAUCCACUAAACCCACAUGAGAAAACAUGAGCAGGAACAAUCUAUUAAAUAUUCUGGGAAAAAUAAGGCGAUACUGCACAAAAGCAGAUAUAAAUGUGCAUUUACCAGAUAUAAACAGAUCAUUGUUUGAUACGCAAUACAAGUAGAUCAUUUUUUCUUGUUUAAUACAUGAUACAAAUAGGUCAUUUUUUCUUGUUUAAUACACACACAAAUACAUGCAUACAUGUAUACACAAAUUCAUGCAUGCAUACAUCCAGACAUACAUACAUAUAUACAUGUAUACACACAUACAUCUUCAAGAGGGACAUUAAUACCUGAAAGUCUUAAAAAUCCAAUCGUUUAAGGCUGGUUGCCUAUAUCUCGGAAAUAGAUUAAAAGAACAUAAUGUAGAAAUAAUAAUUCUAACAACUAAAAUAUUUAAAAAAGUUUGACUUACCUAUAUGACCCUAAUCUACACCCAAGCAUAUAGAGACAGCCUUGUAAAUUAUGAGGCCUGCCAUGCAUUUUAUCAUGCAAUAAGUAGAGACACAUGUUGCGAAGGAGAAUAAACAAGCUGAUUGUUUAAUAAUGCAGCUGUUCAUCAUGGAGAUAAGUCAUAGUCUCUGGGAGCAGGAUGAUCUUAUGAAAGUUCAGAGAUGAGCCAUAGUCUCAUGAAGCAAGAUGAGUUCAAGAAUUUAUUCUUUGAUUCCCUAAGAACUGCAUUGUCGAUGAGAGCUUGAGUUUUGAAAAUGUCCUGCAACACUACAAAGCUCCCAUUAAUGGACGAGCUAUAUAAGUUUGAGCAUGACACAUCAAUGAUGAGCAAUCUUAUCUACUCCAUUAAUGCGUAUAAAUGGACAACAAUGACAACUAGGAUAGAGGAUGAUUAUGUAUAUAUGAAUUUUGGUGCAAGCAUGGAUGAUAGUAAUGGUGGCUGAAAAUUAAUAAUGAGAAAAAAUUUAUUGAUAUAUAGCUGUUCUAAUAUACGACCUCCAGAACAAUCUGUGCAUGAGGCAUCCUCCCACUGUUGGUGACUUCACUUGGUUUUGCAUCCUGUUUUCCCAUCCUAUUUUCAAGACUGUUUGCUUGAUGUAGCUGAGUUGAUUAGAGCAUGCGUUUGUUAACCAUAAGAUCACAAGUUCAAGCCUUUGUUCUAUCAUAUAUUAUUUACUCAGAUGAAACUUGCACAUUUUGUCUUUCAAAAGAAUUUGCAUUGCCCAUGCAAUAUACUAAUUCCAUCAAUGUAAAACAUUGGAAAUGAUGAAAAUCAUGUUUUGGUUGCUUUCAUACAAUCUGUUUUGUCAAAGUUGACAGGUUACAGAAGCUGGGAAGUUAGUUUUAGGGAAAAAAAGGCUCCUUCCUGAUCUAUCAUACAAAAAGAAAAAAAAGCAGAUUUUACACAAAAUUAGGUUUCCUGAUUAGUUGUCUUCUUACCAUUCAAAGAUUAUCAAACAGCACACUAAAGUAUACCAUAACCUAUUAUCAGCUAUUUUUUUCUUAAAAGUUUACAAAUUUAAACCAUGUUGUAGGAUUAGUUUAGGAUUCUAUACGCUGAACGUCCAAAUCAGAACCCUGCCCACUAUAAAGCAAUCAGAAGCAACCUAGAAUAAUGUUUGAAGCAUAUCAUAGCAUUAUCUCAGUGUAUUCUCCACUAGGUUUACAUUUCUAACAAUGCAAACAAUAUUAAGAUGGAUUUGUAGGCAUCACUUGAUUUAUUUGACUUCUGGAUGAUAUGGAAUUGAUCUGCAAUCACAUGCAAGUUCUAUCAGCUAUCCUUAUUUCCAAAUAAAUGCAUGGAUAAGUGGCUUAUAUAAGAAAGAGCAUGUCUUUAGCUCUCAUAGACCAUGACUAUUUAGCCCAAACAGGUAUCAGGACUGCUUUUGAGCACUUCAAGGCACAGCAAGAUGAACAGCACACCAGACAUGACUGUAAUCUGAGGAAUUUUUGGGCCUGUAAAUGGCACCACCAAGCCAAUAAAUAUUACUAAGGUUGGUUCUAGCAUGUUUUUGCUUGAGAGAAGGUCCUUAACUUCAAUGGUUGGUUACAUAAAAAUAUUCAUGAGGCUAGUUCUAGUUUUACCAUGAGAUAGUAUGGGGACCAAGCUGAUUCGGCACCGUGCGGAUCCAUACCAUGCCAUUUGAGGGUGUAUCAACACACUGAGAACCAAAGAGAGGGGGCAAGGGAGAAGGAGAGAGAGGGGGGAAAAAAAAGAGAGGGAGGGAGAGGGAGAGGAAGGGAAGGAGAGAGAGGGAGAGGGAUAGAGAGGGAGAAGAGAAGAAGAGAGAAAGAAGGAGAGGAAAGGAGAGAGGAAGGGGGGGGGGCGAGAAGCCGAGGCCUCCGGACUCACUUGAGAGUUCGCGAGGGUUUUCAACAAAGAGGCUUCUGACGAGGCAACCGAAUCGGGAUGGCAUCCAAAUCUGGCAAGAGAAAGGGGUUGUGGCAUCGUUACAGGGUGAGAACUGCAUGAAAGAGAGAGAGAGAGAGAAGCAGGAGCUUACCGAGCAUCGCAAGGCAAAGAGCGAGAGAGCGCUCGAAGGCUCUCCAAGAUCUCGGAAAGACGAGGUUUUUUUUUUUUAAAUAACCCGAACUGUUAAAAUAGACCAGACUAUCCCGAGUUAGUGUCGGUUCGGUUCGGUACAGGUCGAAUCACCCGGGUCGGUGUUGGUCCGGUUUGGUACAGGCUGAACCGCCCGACAUCCUUUGAUAAGGACAACUUGCAUUCUCAAGUGACAAACAAUUCAAUUCUAACUUUGUUCUAUCCAUGGAGGCGAGAAGCUUAUAGGGACCAAAGUGAUUGUGAAUGAACAUCAAAUGAAACUAAGUAAAUUAAAAAUAACAUACAUAACCAAAGAGAUGAACAUGGUUACGAUACAUUUGGACAAUGAUAUGGAAGAUAUAGAAAUAUCAUAUGAUCCAUAAAGCAAGCAGCUGAUUUGUUAACCUAACAAAAUACAAAAUGCAAGUAGAUAUGUAAGCCAAAGUUUUAAAACUGGACCAAAUGGGCUAGUUGAACCAGUUCAACUACUAAUAGGAGAGAUCUAUAAUCCCAUCACACACAUAAAAGUAAAAACUCUUCUAUUUUGUAAGAAAGAGAAAACCACCAAGUAAAUAGGUAAAUUGUUUGAAUCGCUUUGGGUUCAACUGAACUGGAUGUUUUUUUUGGUUGAUAAAAACUCUUGAUUUGGAAAUUAUCAUUUUCAUUCUCCAUCUUUAUUCUCUCAUCCUACUCGACCACAUGACCUCUUUCUUCCUUUGCUAGUAUCAGCAGUAAGGGUGAACCGCCUAUGGUGACAAGUGGAGAUGGUAGAUGUAGGUUAUUGGAUUCUCUCCCUCCCUCCUCCAUCCCAUCCACCAUUUUCACGUGCAGCUUCUGGUCGCCUCCUUCUCUCUCUAGCCCCUACUCUUGCCAUCCCUCUUCCUGUCUCUUAGAAAAAAAAAAUCUCAUAAUUGGCCUCUAGCGGCUGUAUGGGGCUCGAACCUCUAAGCCUCCCCUCCCCCCCCCCCCUAGCCUGUUCUUUUCAUCCCCUUCAUCUCCCCUUUCUCAGUGCUCUCUCUCUCUCUCUCACUCUCCCUACCUUGGAAUGCCAAAUUUUUUCACUGUCACUUGAUGCCUGUGUUAGCUGUGCAUGGAAACGUAAAGCAUAAAGGCCCUAAGUAGGAACAGUUCUGAAACAUUGUUGUCAUUUAUUCCAUGUAAAAUUAGCUAAAACUGUCAAAGUAAUUGGUAUGGUAUUUAAAAAUGUUUAAGAUGCUGAUAUUGGCUCGAGUGCUGCUGAUCUUUUAGUCUUCCUCUUGUUUUGAGCCUUCAACAAUUCAUAAUCUCCUCUAUUUCCCAGCUUUUUCUCAACCUCAUAAAUUAAAGUUGAUUGCAACUUGUUAACUAUAAAUUAUAAUGCUACAUGAUAAUAAAAAGUAAUAAGUAUUGUUUGGAAAUUGCUAACAAAUUUUAAAUAUUUGUCCUUUUUCUUUCAUAAAAAUGUAUGUAUAAGUUUUAUUUUUUUAACUAGUUAAUUCUAGUAUAUUUAUUUUCAAAAGUAGUCAUGGUUCGACUCCAGUUGAUGGGGUGGUUGAACUAAUGACCCAUGACCCUGCCAAUUGUCCAGGUUGAUCGACGGUCCAGGUAUGAAAAUAUUCAUAUAGACAAUAAUAAUAAUUCAAGAAAUACCAAUUUAAGAAAGUUCUGUGCAUUGCUACAUUCAACUAAAAUCACUUAACUACUAUGCAGACUAGCAGGAUCUCAAGAUAUGAAUGCAAUGUCAAAAGGAUCAUAAUUGAGUCUCAGGGAAAAGGAGGAAAAAUGAAACCUCAUUUAACAUCCUGUGCAGCUCAUCCCUAGCUUCAAUAAUACGAUCUCUAUCAUUGCUGUCUACCACAAAUAUCAAACCCUGUGUGUUCUGGAAGUAGUGCCUCCAAAGUGGACGGAUCUAUAAAACAAAGAAUAGCAUUUCUCAUACAAAUAAUCCAAGAAACAGAGACAUGUAUAUUAAAAUCCUUUCAUAAAAAUCCCAAUAACAUGACACUUAGAUAUUCAAAAUCAAAAUGACUUAAUAAUUACCAUGCUUCUCAGAUCAUUUAACAUAAAAGCAAGUUCUUCACAAGAAAAAACAAUGUGGAUUGCAUCCAAUAAAAUGCUAGUGGAAUUCAUACCUUGUCCUGACCACCAACAUCCCAUACAGUAAAGCUGAUAUUCUUAUAUUCCACAGUCUCCACGUUAAAUCCUAAGAAGAAACAUCUCCGCUAUCAUCUCCGCUAUCCAUAUCAAGACACCAUAAAGAAUACUAAAAUACAUUUUUUUUUUCAAGAAUUGAGUUCCCAAAGGAAGAUUUUUCAUAAACUUGAGCCUGCUAUGAUGACUUAAGUGAAACAAAGUUAAUAAAAUUCUCAGCUAUGCCUAAAUAUAUGAUUCAUAGCUACAGAGACAAUACCUUAAAAGUGGAUAAAAAACCAAAAUUUGCCUUGUCAAAGAAAAAGACAAUUUAGCCAUAAAUAUCAAACAUAAAAGUGAAAUAGAAGCAUCCCAAAAGGCACUCUUAAAAAUAAAAAAUUAAAAUAGCAUCUGCAAGAGUAAAAGAAAAGUCUUGAAAACAUACCUUGCCACAAUAAAGUUCAAUAAAUUAGAUAGUUUCAUACUAACACUUAUAUAAAAUUUAGGUAGGAGACAUGGAUUAGAAUAGUCAAUCAAGCUACAUGUAAGUUCUCAUUCUUAAACACAGACUAGGUUUUUCUUGCAUUCAUAUUUAUUAAAAAGAAAUCACUACAAGAAAAUUUUGAACUUUUAUAUGUGAAUUAAUUUGAUAACUUCUUGUAAUAAUGGUAUGAUCUGAUUCAGAAUAUAGAUCAUUGACCCAACAAAUGUGCCAAUAACUGAUCACAAAGUAUAUGCUUAACUAAAGAGGUGGAAGUACAAAUGCACUAACACAUGAAUUAAACUACAGAAAAUAAUAUAAACAUAUAUCCAAUAUGUAAACAUAAAGGCACAUAUACAAAACUACAUCCCAUAACCAUAACCAUCUAGCCUUGUCCCAACUAUACAAAGUCACAUAUAUGAAUCUUCCCUCACUAGGCAUUCCUAUCUAGGGCGGCUACCUAUAAUUUUAUUUCAAGUUUUCUCAUAUUUUUUUCCUCACUGUGGAUGGUACCAUCUCCAAGAAUUAGAGCUUGGGUAAUUAUAGUGCAAGUAGGUCUCCAACCAUUUUAUUAAAAAAAAAGUCAACUUUUAAUCAUGUUAACUUAGGCCUUCCCCUGCUCUUGCCACAUUCUUCAACAAAGAUUCUAGUAACCCUCAAGGAUCUCUCGAGAUCUUUAACAUGUGCCUAUACCAUUUCAAUCAAUCAUCAAUUUUUUCUUAAUAGGAGCAACUCUUAUAGAUUCCCCAAUACUCAUGUCUCACUCUUAUUCCUAGUGUUACACAACAUCUCAACUAGAGCUAUCAAUGUUCAUGAGUAUAUUGUCUUUGGUUAUUAUUUAAGUAAAAUUUAUCGUUAUAUUGAUUUAUGAAAUGUUGAACAACACAAAUAGGUGUACAUAUCAACCUUUAGGUUGUAACUUGAUGGCUUUAUUAUGCAACUAAUAGCUGUUAUAGAUCCUGGAGCCCAUGGAUCUUGAUAAUGGCCUAUGAAAAAAAAACAACGGUUCAAGCUCUAUCCAUUCUCCCAUUUGAUCAGAUCAGAGACGUUUCCAUCCUCUCUCUCUCGCACAUACACGCACACAAAUUUCUCCUCAAAAUCUAUCUUCUUCAUAUCUAAAUAUACAACCCGAACUCCUGAGUCCUCCCCAGCACCACUCCUCCAAAUCUCUCAAUGUUAGGAUCCCAUUUUCCCUUCUUCCCUCUUUACCUUCUUCAAUGACGGAAAUGGUGAUAGGACCUUGGUUGAUAAUAACUAGGGUCGAUAUCAACUAAGAUGGGGUUAACUACGAUGGGAGAUAGUGAAGCUACCUGAUUCAUGCUCGUGUGUGGCUUCUUUAGCUCCCUCUCCGUCUCCCUAUCUCUCCCUCUCAUUAUGUUUGUGUGUGUGUCUAUGGGUUUGCGGGUGGGUGAUUGUGUUGGAAGGAGAAAUUGACCUCACUCUUCUCUUAGGGUUCCUUCAACCUGAUAAAGUAAAUGUUUUUGAGCCAAGAGUGCUCAGUUUGAGCUGGUUUAAAUUUAGGCAAGCCAAUCAGGAGCUAGGCCUAUCUAACUUGAGCCGAGAUUGAGCUGGCCAUAUUUAAUUCUAAGCUUAGCUUCAACAAGCCCUAACUUGUGUUCGGCUUGUUACACUGAUUCUCAACAUUCUCAUAUAUGCAACAUUCAAGUUGUUUCUUUGGAACCUUUUCAUUACUAGACAUUACGAACCACAUAAUAUUGCAAACCUUAUUGCCUAUCCAUCAACUUUUCCUCUAUGUUGCCGUUGAUGGCAUACAUAUUGACCACAUAAUACCUGAAAAGCACAUCUCUACUUCAUCCAACCAAUUUUAAUUCUACCACAUGUCUUCAUAUAAUUUUCCAUUAUUCUUUAUAAUAAACCUCAUACAACAAAUUUAUCAUUUUGUGGUAUUUCUUGUCCAUUAAUCUUGAUUUGGGCCUCCUCUUCAUUUUUGUUUUCACUAAAAUUACAUUUUAUAUGCUAUAUAUCCUUUAAAGCUUUCUUCCAUAAAUCCACUCUAGCAUUUAAUCUUGUUCUUUUCUCAUUAAUCAACACUAUAUACAUAUGCAUAUAAUACAAAUAAAUUCAUAAAAUUAUUGGAUGCAUAACAAUAAGUUUAUGAUGUGGAAGGGAAAAGGAUUUUGGAUAGCUACAAAACCAAAUUGAAUGCUAAGAACCAAAGAAAAGUCCAAUCCCCAAUGGGUUCAAAAAAUUGAUACUAAAUCAAUAUAAGAUAGGAUCAAAAAAGGAUAUAUAGAGUUUGUUGUGGUUUAGGGUUCAUGAAAAUGAAAGAAUUGCUGAAAACUCCAAAUGGCCUGAAUUUUGCAUUAAAGUGAGCUAGGGAGACAUAUUUUGCAUGGGAAGUUAUGGUCGAUGUGCAUGUUUAAGGUUGAAAACCAUGAGUCUAGGAUUUAGUUAGUCCCUUCGGGUAACCUUGUAAAGGAACAUAAUGCUUUUCAAGUUCCAUGUUAAUUUAUAGCACAUCUAUAUUUAGGUUUUAGUUGGACCAAGGAGGCUGCAAAAGGAGAAAUGGAAAAAGAAGGAAAGGUGGGAUAAAAGCUAGUGUAGGUAUUUUCAAGUUUUUAGGAUUUUUUUUUUCCGUAGAAAGGUUCGAAUAAGACAUUUAAAGAGACAGAUUUCAAACAGAAGAAAAGGGAAAACAUAAUCAAGAUGAACUCGUCAUCACUAUAUAGAACUUUACAACUCUUCAAGUUGGUUGAAGGAAUCAUCAAGCCAAUAGAUAAGUCAUGCCAUGAAAGAAGAGAAGCUCAAGGACUUAGUUUAACUGAUAUGUUUUAAGUUUAUGAAGAUGGAGGAAUGCUACUAGGAUUCAAAAGCACAAAGGAAAGAAACAUGCUUUUUGUAAGAUAGGUUCACUAAAAACAAAAGAACAUCACUUUUAAAAGAAAUAUUCUCCGAAAAGGAGAGCUUGAAAAGCCUUUCUUGAAGAAACUUCUUUCAUAUGACCAAAAUAAUACCUCAAUUACAAAGUUUGAAUUUGCAUGAAAAAGCAUUGUAAUUAAAAAACCCAAAUCCUCCUAAAAAAUUUAUUUGUAAACCAAAGCUCAAAAUAAAAUAUCCAAUCAGAAUACCAAAUUCCCCUAAACAGCUGAGGACAAUGAUACCUAUAUCGAUUGAUGAGAAAUUAAUCUUUCCAUGAUCCAUAUACUGAUGGUUUGACAUUUUUCUUCCAAUCAGUCACUGUCCAACAACCCAACUCAAUGGAUCAUUUAGUUAAUCUACAAGCUUUAGUGUACCUUUGAUCUGCUAAUCUGGUCUGCAUUUGCAUUAUCUCAACUAGUCCACCUUGAGGAAAACUUGGUCUUGAGUGGCUAAGAUAGUAUCAGCAAGUCUUUGUUGAUAUGAGGCCUUAAUUCCUACUUCAAUUGACCAUUCAUCAUAUUUGUUAUUAUCAUCAUGCUAACAGAUAUUCUAAAGAAUAUAGUUAAAGGUAGAUGUUUUGUAAGAGACUGCAACUUGGCAAGUGGAAUUAUUCUUAUACUCAUUGAAAACCUCAUUAUUUAGUGGCAAAAUUUCAUCAUGAAGCUUUAGCAUGAAAUGUUGAACGAGCAACUUCCAUGUGACCUUUAAGUUUCCUUGCAGUGUGGCUCUUACAAUGAUGAGAAAGACUGGAUGGCAAUGAUGGAAUAUCUUAAGUUACUAGAACUUCUUUAACUUCUUCUGUCAGUAGGGCAUGAAUGACACAAUGAGGAAGCUUGUUAAAAACUGCAGUCUUGUAGUUUUUUUUACCAAAGCUUCUCCAACUUUUCAUUGGCCUUGAGAUGGUCUGUCAACAUUCAAAUUUAGCAUCCCAAUCAUGAAUAAUUUCAAAAUUUUGCAACCAUGAGCAAGUAAGAAGAAUAGGUGUGAUCACAAUUGGGAUGCCAAUACAUAACAUUAAAUCCCUAUAUUUACCAUUUUUGACAGUGAUGAAGAAAGCAGAAUGUAUGCCAUGAUUUGUGCAAGAACAUGUAUUGCAUAUACGGUUGCUGUUGUAGCUUUCAAUUCAACCAGAGUAAAAGGACAAAAAGAAAGUCACUAGUGGAUUCUUAGAUUUCUUAGUUCCAGCUCUAACACAAACCUUAUUUUUUGCAGACGUCAAAUGUAUGUUACAUAGAUGCAGUCUAUGUUGAUGAUGUUCAUAAUUGCAAAGCUCAGUUCUUGAUAUCCAUCAUGUUUGCAAGGCAACAGGUCAUGGCAGUCCAAGUUGCAACAAUAUGGAGUUCUACAAAAUAAGGAGGCCAAGCACAUCAAAUUUGAAAAGGCAGGAGAUGUCGGUUUCUUCAGAAAUCAGGUAUCAUACAAGACAAACAUUAGGUAUACCAGGAAAUAAUAGGAACCGGUGCCAUGUUACAAAGGCAUCAUUCGACCACAAGGUCUGCUAAGUAGAAGGUGCCAUCCUUGUGAGCCUAGAGCAGAAGAUUAUUGGGUGACUUGUCCUAUGGUGAAGAGACCCCACCCCUUCACCAUGUCUAACCUUUACAUAGCAUUCUCUUGAAUGAAGUCUGACUAGAAUGACCUGUGCUCUCCUAAUAAGGCUAGGUUAGAAAGAGAAAACAAUGAACGAGGAGAGGUUGAGGCUUGGUGCACAAAGAAAAGAUAAUUAAAACACCAGAUAAACGACACCGAAAAAAAGAGAGGAGAAAGGUACUCAGUUGGUAUGUAUCCCCCAGCUUGUCCUUCUAACGAAAAAAUAUAUAUUAAGCUGCCGACCGAGGACAAGGUUUCAUAUGCAGUUCUACACGUUAUCUUAAUAAGAUGCCUUUACCAUUAGUGAUUGAUCGAGUUGGACGUUAGAAAUGGAAAAGAAAAGAAAGCAAAAAGAAAGGCUUCACAUCAUUUCCACAUAAUAUUUUUGUUUCUCAUCGCAUCUAAACAGUGUCAUAAAACUAUGACAGAAAAUGAGAAUGUCAACAGGUCCUUCCUAAGCACGUCGAUACGUACCGAUGGUAGGGAUCGUGGUGACUAUCUCUCCCAGCUUGAGCUUGUAGAGUAUGGUAGUUUUACCAGCAGCAUCGAGACCAACCAUCAGAAUGCGCAUCUCCUUCUUGGCGAAAAGCCGGCUGAAAAGCUUUGUGAAAGUCAGCCCCAUCUCCCUGCCUCGUUCAUAACAAACAAACCCCUCUCAAAGCUCAGUUCCUUCAAAGACCCUCGGAGCACAAUGCGUGAAUAAACAAAUUCAACGAUUCGGGAUCGUUUUUCAAACGGAUCUGUUACUUAACGCUGGAAAACAGCCCCAGAAAUAGGCGAGCAUCGCGAAGAAUUCUACCAAUGCUUUUCACAUAUUCAAGAACUGGACAGACUUAACCGGCCAGGCUAAUAAAAAUCGAAAUUCAGAAAAAGAAAAUGAGAACAAGACCCUUUUUUGAUAUCAAACGAAGAAAAGCAAUAAAUCCAGGUUUUGUUUCUCUAUUUUUUUUUUCUUGAAAGUUCUCUCUCUUGUCUUCAAGAGAAGGAUGCGCAGAUUUGAUAAGAGGAAGAAAACGAUUCGGGGGCCAAAAGCGAUUGCUCGUGCAUUCUAAUGGGCCGAAAAAUAAGCCUUCUAAAUCUAAUAUAAAGAAGAUUUCCACUGAAACGAUUACCUAGAAGGACGCAAGAAUCCCCAAGCCAAGAAUUUCAAACGUCCAGGACAGACACAGACAGACGGAUCCAGGAAAAGAAACAACAAAUGUUCAUUCGGAUGAAGAGGACGAGGCUUCUUUUACCUUGCCGAAGAGAAGCGAUUAACCCUCGAAAACAAAAGCUCCGUGGAGGGAAAGCGAGGAGAGGAGAUGGGGAAGGAGCGGGCCGCUUCAGCUCAACGCGGAGAUUGAUGAAUGGUGGUUGGUCAACGAAGGAACAACAGGAAAAAGGUGCGGUAUAACCGCAUUGGUCCAAGAGAAAAAAUGCUGACGGAAUUCCCGUCCUUUAAAAAUAAAAAUCUGAGUUCCCCAUUAUGCUUUCUAAAUGCCGAACGCCUGUCAAUUUAAUCUCGAUAUAAUUACAGAAAUAUGAAAUCUCUCCUUCUAAUGCCUUCCUUAAUUAUGCUUCUCCUAAUCAUCAACACUAAAUUUUAAACUUUAUAUUUAAAAAAAAUACCUAAUUAGAAAGCAAUAAGGUAGUGGAAGAGGCUCCAAUUCCACGAUACCACUUACCAGAUUUAGUUAGGCACAUGUCCUCAUCUCUCAUCGUCUUUCUAUACUUUGAUCAACCAGAUCUCUCUCCACAAAUAANNNNNNNNNNNNNNNNNNNNNNNNNNNNNNNNNNNNNNNNNNNNNNNNNNNNNNNNNNNNNNNNNNNNNNNNNNNNNNNNNNNNNNNNNNNNNNNNNNNNNNNNNNNNNNNNNNNNNNNNNNNNNNNNNNNNNNNNNNNNNNNNNNNNNNNNNNNNNNNNNNNNNNNNNNNNNNNNNNNNNNNNNNNNNNNNNNNNNNNNNNNNNNNNNNNNNNNNNNNNNNNNNNNNNNNNNNNNNNNNNNNNNNNNNNNNNNNNNNNNNNNNNNNNNNNNNNNNNNNNNNNNNNNNNNNNNNNNNNNNNNNNNNNNNNNNNNNNNNNNNNNNNNNNNNNNNNNNNNNNNNNNNNNNNNNNNNNNNNNNNNNNNNNNNNNNNNNNNNNNNNNNNNNNNNNNNNNNNNNNNNNNNNNNNNNNNNNNNNNNNNNNNNNNNNNNNNNNNNNNNNNNNNNNNNNNNNNNNNNNNNNNNNNNNNNNNNNNNNNNNNNNNNNNNNNNNNNNNNNNNNNNNNNNNNNNNNNNNNNNNNNNNNNNNNNNNNNNNNNNNNNNNNNNNNNNNNNNNNNNNNNNNNNNNNNNNNNNNNNNNNNNNNNNNNNNNNNNNNNNNNNNNNNNNNNNNNNNNNNNNNNNNNNNNNNNNNNNNNNNNNNNNNNNNNNNNNNNNNNNNNNNNNNNNNNNNNNNNNNNNNNNNNNNNNNNNNNNNNNNNNNNNNNNNNNNNNNNNNNNNNNNNNNNNNNNNNNNNNNNNNNNNNNNNNNNNNNNNNNNNNNNNNNNNNNNNNNNNNNNNNNNNNNNNNNNNNNNNNNNNNNNNNNNNNNNNNNNNNNNNNNNNNNNNNNNNNNNNNNNNNNNNNNNNNNNNNNNNNNNNNNNNNNNNNNNNNNNNNNNNNNNNNNNNNNNNNNNNNNNNNNNNNNNNNNNNNNCCCCAACUUCCCCAGUUGCCCCUCUGCAGGCCAGGAAACCCUCCACCUCCCUUCCAUCAAGUGGGAAGACCCGUAGCCAGCUUAUGCUCCCGGAGGCAUUCCAUUGGCCCGAGGUCUUAGGCGACCGCCUCAGUCGCCUAGGGCUCGGGCCGGCCCUGUAGUUAGUAUAGGAUGUACAAAAAAAAAAGUUGGAUGAUAUUUAUAUGAUAUUUUACUAAACUAUUUUUUGAUAAAAAAUAAAAGUCUGGUUCUCACAUUUUUUGUAAAAAAAAUGAAACAAAAUGUAAUUUUGGUGGGCUAGGAUGGAUGAAUGAUUCCUCCUUUGUAUUUAUCCUUUCUAAGUUUUUUAAACCAAAUGAUGAAUGGAGGUCAUUCAUACUUCCUCUCCUGACCCAAAUCAAACAUAAGGUAAGGGUCGGGAGUGUAUCUUUUUUGCACAAAUCCAUCAUUGGAUCACACAUUGUAGAGAUCUCAAAAUAUUUCUAGCUCCGUCAUUCAUUAUAUUGCAUAGCUCUUACCGCUAUUAGUGGAUGAUCCAGAAGUAGAUUAGAAAGGUAAAUCUUUCUUUCUUUCUCGCGGAAAAGAUAUGCUUCCAACCCUCACAAAUUUGUCUUUUUGUGUAUUUGGCCACCAAAUCAAAUAUUUUGUGCACAAUACAUGAGGUAGUAGGUGAUUCACUCUCUUCUUAUUUUUUUUUAUAGAAAUAAGGUAGGUGAUUCACGAAGGCAUUAAUAUCCAUUAGUACUUGACCCCUAUGCAUAAAACCAGAUGUACUUUGAACAUUUAAACCAAGAGGAGAGAGAAAAUAUGAUAUCUAUGUAUACUGUUAAUGCGAGAGAAAAGAGAAAAAAAGAGUAAAAAAAAAAUGCCAAAAAAAAUUCUCAUCCAAAUAUUAUUUUUAAAAAAUUAAUUUUAAAAAAAUAUAAUAUCCAAAAAAAUAAUUUUGAUAUAUUUGAUUGGCUAAAAAAAUGAUAUAUUUUUUUAGAAAAUCAUAUAAAAUAUCUAUUAUAUUCAUAAAGAAAAAAAUUUUAUUCUUAAAAGUAAUUUUAGAAAAAAAAUUUAAUUUCUAAAUGUGAAAAAGUGCUUUUCCAUAUUCCUCAUAAUUUUUGUCAUAAAACAUAAAAAAAUUAUUCUUAUGAACAUACUAUUUUUUUAUUUUUAAAAAAUUCCAACCAAAUAGAAUUUUUUUAUUUUUUAUUGGCCAUAUUUUUUUUUCUCUUAUUUUUCCACAAAUCAAACAAGCUGCAAAAUAAAAAAAAAACGUGUUUGGAAGGAGUUCAAAGAAUUCAAAAAAUAAAAUAUUCAAUUCUUAUCCGGUUGACCUAAGAGGCACGUAAAUAAUAAGUUGUAAAAUUUAAAACUUGAAAGACUAAUUUACAAUAAAAUCGCGGGACUUGACCCUGUCACAUUCGUCGGUUCGGGGAAAAUUCAGAUAUUUUGUAGCAGUGGAGCGAGGCCGGCGUCUCCAUCCACACCAUCCGGUCCUCCCUUCCACCGAGUCUCAGGGGGAAGGGAAAGAGAAAGUGAGAGAGGGCGAGAGAAGGAAAGAAAGGCCGGGGCAAUGGGCGCGAUAAAGGCGGCCGUGGGCGAUGCCGUGGUCACGUUUCUGUGGGUGUUCUGCGUCUCCAGUGUGGGUGCCCUGACCGCCAUCAUCGCGUCGGCCCUCCAGGUCCAGGGCGUCGCCUACUCCCUCGUCAUCACCACCACCCUCAUCUUCCUCCUCCUGCUCGUCUUCAAUCCCAUCUGCGACGCCAUCGGCGGGGCCAGCUUUAACCCUACCGGGACGGCCGCCUUCUACGCCGCUGGUUUUGGGGGGGACAACCUUGUCUCCAUGGCUCUCCGCUUCCCAGCCCAGGUCGGUCUCUCCGCCCUCCUUUGUUUUUCUCCUCUCGCUCGCUCCCUCUCUCUACCUUCCUCCCUCCUUUCUCCCCGUUCGUUUCUCCGUGGAUCUGGCGAGAUGGACCAUCUGAUUGAUAUGAUGCUUCCUGGCAACAGGCGGCCGGGGCGGUGGGUGGUGCGUUGGCUAUCGCGGAAUUGAUGCCUCCUCAGUACAAGCACAAGUUGGGCGGCCCUUCAUUGAAAGUGGACUUACACACAGGGGCAGCUGCGGAAGGGGUCCUGACCUUUUGCAUCACCUUCGCUGUCCUCUGGAUAGUGAUCAAGGGUCCCAGAAGCGCAUUCGUGAAGACGUGGUUGCUUGCUGGGACGACUGUGGCACUCGUUCUUGCAGGUGCUGGUUAUACAGGGCCAUCCAUGAACCCUGCCAAUGUGAGCUGCUUCUUCCCUUAUUCAGCAUUUCUGCUGUCAUCCUCCUCCUCCUCUUUUUCUCAUCAUUCUUAGGGGCUGAGCCGAGCCAAGUCGAAUAGCUAGAGGCUCAAGCUUGACUCAAUUAAGAAUACUUGGGGUCGAAACUCGAGGUUGAUUGAGUUUUACUAUCAAAGCUCGAACUUAACUCAAUUAAAAAAAAACAAUAUUCAAAGUCGACUUGACUUGACUCGAAUAUCAACCGAGCUCAAAUUUGAGCCUUAGUCAUAAUUAAAAAAAUGAUUAAAAGUGAGAAGUUAGAUUAGAUUAAUAUAUAUAUAAUUAUAUUUUAGAAUAUUAAAUUAGUAGUAUAUAUUAUAAAUAAAAUAUAAUAUUAUUAAAAAUAUAUAUACUCAAUUAAGUUCGCGAGCUUUCGAUUCGGGUAUUUUGCUACCCAAGCUAGACUCGAAAAAUGCCGGAGCUACUCGAGCUCGAUAAUAGUCGAGUUGAAUUGAGCUUGGACUUUAGUCGAGCUUGAGUAGCUCACGAGUUGCUCGGAUCAUUCACUCGUAAUUAUUAUCAUUUCAGAUAUUCACAAAUUACUUUGGUGCUAUUGUACUUACUAUGUAGAACAAUAUUUGCUGAAUCGGUACUAAAAGUUGUAUUAGUUAGCAAUUGGUACGUACCAUACCAAUUUGUGGCCUACCGAAACUAGGAGGAGAGAGAGGAGAGAGAGAGGGGAGGAGAGAGAGAGGGGAGGAGAGAGAGAGGUGGAAGCCUCCAAACUCACCUGAGAGAAAGAGGCCGAGGCAUCCAACGAUAGCUUUGUGAGGGGAUAGGCCGGAGGAGCAGGCAGGAAAGGGAGAGAGGGGAAGCAAGGGCUUCGAGAUCUCUAGAUUCGGUGACGGAGAUUGAGAGAGAGUCUCAUUUGGCCAGGACGACAUUUUCAUUGUACAUUAUUGUUGUCCACAUAGAUCGAGAGCUUCGAACAGGUUCGAUGGAGACUAAGGGUUUCAAAUAGGCUUGGUGGGAACCAAGAUUUUCAAAUAGGGUGACGCAGACGGGGAUGCGCAGGAGGUCGAACUUGGGGAUGAUGGCGGUAGCUUCUUCUUUUUUUUCCCCUUUAUGGCGGCUAUGCUAUGCUAGGGUUUUUUUGCGGAUGGGAGGAAGAAAAUGAUGGAAGAUGACUAAUUGGGGUUCAAUUGGGUGUGGCCGAAUGGGGAUUGGGUGAGAGUGUGCUUGAGGGAAUUGUGGACGGGAUGGGAUUGGAUUGGAUCCAAUUUAAAAUUGAGUUAGUGGUGUGAUAAAUUGGGUGGACUUGGCUAGGUUGAAUGAGGUCCAAUUGGGCUUGAUGUGGUGUGAUUAAUUGAAGGUGGCGUGGCUAGUAGGGAAGAGUCCUAAUGCGACUCAAACUCUUCCAUUAUAUUGCGUACUGGCGUGGGAAUGAAAUAUGGCAUGAGAAAGGAAUAUAGCAUGGGAAAAAGGAAAAAGUCCUUCCACAAGGACUCUCAAAUAAGGAUAGCGUGAGAAGGGUUGUGGCGUGAGGAAAUGGAAAGAGUCCUUUCACAAGGACUCUCAAAUAAGGAUGGCGUGGGAAGGAUUGUGGCGUGAAGAAAAGGAAAGAGUCUUUCUUUCACGAGGACUCUCAAAUAAGGAUGGCGUGAGAAGGGUUGUGGCGUGAGGAAGAAUAGGAUAACUCAAGAGGAUGGAUGGAUGAGUCUUAUCUCCACUCAAACUCUUUAAAGAGGUUGGGCGUGAGGAUGGAUGAAGAGUCCCACUUCACUCAAACUCUUUCCAAACUUGGCGUCUCCCCAAGAAAAAGAAGAUGGAGCGUCACACUCCAAGGAGAAAGAGAAACACUCAAUAUUUUUUUCUAAACUCAUUCAAUCUUAUUCUGAAUUUUAUUCUUCAACCUUCUUUUUAUAUAGAGUAAGAGGUUGGAAAAACUAAGCAACUUACAACUAGAAUUUUUGGGGACUCCUUUAACAAGAACUCCUACUUAACAUGGACUCUUUUAAAUUAAAUCAAUCAUUUGACUCAAUUAAUUAACAAAUUACCUAAGACUCCCCAUCAACUAGGACUCUUAACUGACACUAAUUUUUGAAGGAGUCAAUAAACAAAUAAAAGAAGAAAAACGUGACUUUUGAGUAAGCUUGCACACACCCAUGGAGAGCUUCACGCACGCCCCUAGUUCCAUCACUCCUAAAUUUAGAAUUUGGAUCAAGUCAACGAGUAAACAACUAAGACUCCAAAUUAACUAGGACUCUCAAAUCAACUAAGACUCCAAAAUAACUAGGACUCUCAAAUGGACUCAAUGUAACUUGACUCACAGAUUCACUGUAACUCGACUCAUGGACUCAAUGUAACUUGACUCAUGGACUCUAAAUAAACCAGAACUCUUCAAUGCCACAUGGACUUAGUGUAAUUGGCGUUGGAACCCUUAGACCCAAUGUGUUUUGGCGUUGGAACUCUUGGACCCAAUGUGUUUUGGGCACGCCCAAGUAAGGACUCAAUCUCCACGCACGCCUCCUUUUGUGCUCCUCUCCAUUUCCGUCUGCAUCAAGUGGUAUCAGAGUGAAUUUUCUGCAUGAACUUGAGUACUCUACUACCAUGAGUACGAGAAGUGGCCGUCCCUACAAUACUGACCAUCAACUUGAAUACUCUACCAUCAUGAGUAUAAGAAGCGGCCGUCCCUACAAUGCCGAUUGACAUCAACUUGGGUACUCUACCAUCGUGAAUACGAGAAGCGGCCAUUCUUACAAUGACGAUCGAUAAGAAGAGAAGUUGGCUAAAAUCGCCAAUCAACUUGCUGCUGUAAAGGCACAAAUACAAAAGCUUUGCCCUGUCAAUCCAUAAGUUGGGCGGCGCUCUUCAGAACGCAACACCAAGGGCGUUCCUUUCCUCGAGGCAUUUUUUCUUUCACAAUACCCGAAGUUUCUGCAAAUAGGGUACAUAUUCGAAACGUGGAGCAGCAAGAGCCAACAAAAAGGUAAAGGGUCCUAUGCUGCAAAAAGGAAGCCAAUUCGAUUGCUACAAGUGCAGCGGUCGAGGACAUCUUGCGGUUGUUUGCCCCACAAAGACUAGCAACUUGCGUUGGUUUGCGAAAAAGAUGAGAUCGUGGAGACAUUUGAAGUUUCUCGUAAAUUCGCUGAGAUUGAAGAAGAGGAGAAAGGCAACGAGGAAGAAGCCCCCGCGGUAGAACUCGAAGGAUUCGAUCUAUCCGUUUGUGUUAUUCGCAGGGUCUUUUUGGGUUGCAAGCAAGAUGAGGACAUGGAGGAGAAUUGGUUGCGCACCAUCUUCCACAUCCGUGUCGAACACAAUAAUAAGGCAAUGAACCUCAUCAUUGACAAUAGGAGCGGGAUGAACAUCGUUUCCAACGAAUUGCUGAAUAAGAUAAAGCUAAAAUUGAAGCCCUAUCCCAAGCCAUACCGAGCAAGUUGGAUUGUUGAUUUCAAGCCUGAAAAUUUAGUAAUCCAAAGGAUGUUAUCUAUGAGGCGAUUCGAGUAGAUCAGCCAUGAAGUUGAGGACAUGUUUGCAUCAAUUGCUAAGAAAGUCGGUUCUAAAAAUUCAGAGAAGAUGCCAUCUGAUUUCAAGGAGGAUAAUCUGAUUGUUCGGAGAAGCCGAGAGGAGCACAAGCAGCGCCUAGCCGUCCUGCGCAUGGUGCUACGAUGAGUGCCCGUGCGCAAGUCCGCAACCAAGCGCAGCAGCUGCAAUUGCUGCGCAACGCAGUCUCUCGGAGUGCGCACCAAAUCCGCGUGCCGUGCGCACCAGACCUGCGUCCGCGCCUCCUGUUGCGCUACCAAAAUUGGAGCGUGCCGAACCAACAGCGGAUCACCAGCACUCCAUCAGCAGAGUCCACCCGAACCGGGACUCUCCUGGCGCGCACCGCUUGCACUCAUGCGUGCACCAAAUGGCAGAUUUCAGCGCAACCGCAUGUCCAGCACAGUGGCAGCAACCCAAGUUCACUUGGGCUAGGAAUCUUCAAAUUAGCCCCAACUCGACAGAGUCGAAUUCUUUGUCAGCCGGGAGAAAUUGAUGUAGAAGCCCAAGAGGAGGCACGUGUGGAAAUCGAGUCCUUGCGUGGGCGUGCCCAAAACACAUUGGGUCCAAAAGUUCCAGUACCAAAACACAUUGGGUCUAAGGGUUCUAACGCCAAUUACAUUGAGUUCAUGUAGCGUUGAAGAGUCCUAAUUUAUUUGGAGUCCAUGAGUCGAGUUAUGUUGAGUCUAUGAGUUGAGUUACAUUGAGUCCAUGAGUCGAGUUACAUUGAGUCCAUUUGAGAGUCCUAGUUAUUUUAGAGUCUUAAUUGAUUUGAGAGUCCUAGUUAAUUUGGAGUCUUAGUUGUUUACUCGUUGAUUUAUUCUAAAUUCUAAAUUUAGGAGUGAUGGAACUAGGGUCGCGCGUCAAGCUCUCCAUGGGUGUGCACAAGCCUACUCAAAAGUCACGUUUUCCUUCUUUUAUUUGUUUGUUGACUCUUUCAAGGGUUAGUGUCAUUUAAGAGUCCUAGUCGAUUAGGAGUCUUAGGUAAUCUGUUAGUUGAUUGAGUCAAAUGAUUGAUUUGAUUUAAAAGAGUCCAUGUUAAGUAGGAGUCCUUGUUAAAGGAGUCCCCAAAAAUUCUAGUUGUAAGUUGCUUAAUUUUUUCAACCUCUUACAUAUAAAGGAAGGGUUGAAGAAUAAAAUUCAGAAUAAGAUUGAAUGANNNNNNNNNNCCACCCAUCCUCUUUAGUUAUUCUAUUCUUCUUCAUGCCAUAGCCCUUCUCACGCCAUCUUUAUUUGGGAGUCCUUGUGAAAGGUCUCUUCCCUUUUUCUCAUGCCACAACCCUUCUCAUGCCAUCCUUAUUUGAGAGUCCUUGUGAAAGGACUCUUCCCUUUUCCUCACGCCAUAUUCCUUUCUCAUGUCAUAUUUCAUUCCCAUGCCACAUAAUGGGAGAGUUUGAGUCCCAUUAGGACUCUUCCCUGCUAGCCACGCCUCCUUCAAUUAAUCACACCACAUCAAGCCCAAUUCAACCUCAUUUAACCUAGCCAAGUCCACCCAAUUCAUCACGCCACUAACUCAAUCCUAAAUUGGGUCCAAUCCAAUCCCAUCCCGUCCACAAUUCCCUCAAGCACACUCUCACCCAAUCCCCAUUCGGCCAUACCCAAUUGAACCCUAAUUAGCCAUCUUCCAUAAUUUUCGUUCUCCCAUCCGUAAGGAAAAACCCUAGCAUAGCAUAGCCUCCAUAGAGAAAAAGAAAAAAAAAAAGAAGCUACCGCCAUCAUCCCCAAGUUCGACCUCCUCCCCAUCCCCGUCUGUUUCAUAGGGCCUUUCAUAACUCCUGUUUCGACCGGCUGAAUCAUGCCGAUAAUUGACUUGACUGGUCUGGUACGCCGUGAACCAGCUAGUUUGGCACAAUUCUGCUUACCUUGAUUCAGAAGCUGUGGUAUAGCUUUGUGGUAGUGGUAGGAAAUCUGUCUAUGUCUUCACUCAAUUUAACAACUUGGCAUGUUUCCUCUUCAAAUCUCCAAGAAGGAGGUUUAGCAUAUUUAGAUUUUUUUUUUUGUUUUUUUCACCUGUGCAUGUGUGCAAGCUUGCAAGUAUGCAUGUGUAAGUGUUUGUUGUUGUGUGUGUGUGGGGGGAGGGGGUGCGGGAGGUUGGUAAUCUCGUGUUAAUAAAUGCAAUCGGCAUAUUGCCUCCUAACCUACACAUCUUGUGUUGGUCCUUAUAUAGGUGAAUGUUAACUGAUGACUCUUUAGCUAGUGAGGAGUUUUAUCUGGAAACAAGGAGAAGGAAAAAAAAGAAAUAUUCGUAUGAUACAGGGCGAAGAAUUAAAACUUUUAACCAUCAGCUGAACAUUCCAACAUUUCAUGCAUGUCAUUGAACUAAUAGCGGCAUUUGUUGAUUUGUUUUUUCCUUCCCACUUUUUUGGGUUUCAUGUUCAGCCUAUGAAGCUAGGCUGUCUUUUGCAGAUUAUCCUGUGAUAUUUGGCACAAAACAAAUCAGUGUAUAGUACAAUUUAUAUUAUAAUUUCACUCUCACUGAUUGGUUUUAAGAUACUCAUGGCUUUGGAUAUACUUGUGUCUAUAGCUCCCCAGCAUCUAUUAAAGCAAGGGUUUAAGGAAGAACUUGCAGUGUGAUUAUAACCAAUAAUGCACAUAUGGACAACAGCUAGCUUGUAUUUUUGUUGAUUUUAUGUUUUUUCUAAAAAUUGAUACUAAUGUUGGUGCAUGGAUUGCACGGAAAAAAAUGGCAUCUGAUUAUGAACUGGCUGUUUUGUCAGAAAAGUAGAAUUUUCUUUUUUGGUCAUUUGUAGUUUAUCAAGGGCCUCUUAAAAUAUAUAUGGAGGAUAUCGGAAGUAGCGACAACUAGUAAAUACCUUGGGGCAGAAUUAUCUUGUCUUUUUGAUGGCAUAACUUACAAUGAUGCAUUUGUUGAGGACUAAGGAGCCAGCAACCAUCAAAAGUCAGAAUUUAAUUCCUUUGAAAUAUUUAUUGGUACUAAUAUCUAACACAUGUUACCUUCGUUAUUAGACACAAUUAGUGAUGAAUGCUGUUAGUAAAUUGUUUUUUUAAUUAUAUGAGUGAUUAGUUACUGGAAGUUAUUAUAUAAUGUAGCAAAACUUUUAUAUAAUCUUCAGAUGUUUUAUGGAUUUUAGUGUUGCUUUUUGGCCUCUAAUUGAAAUGAAUAAAGUUUGGUUACUUAAGAACAUGUCGUGUUAGGAUUUGGCUGGACAUAAUAUUUUCCAAGUCCAACCUAUACAUUCUAAAACUUGUUUACAUGCUCUACUUGGGCCGAAUUGUGGUCCAGAAUUCACUUGUCCAAGCUUAGGCUGUUAUAUGCGAGACUCAUUUCCAUUCCAAUGCCAUUGUAUACAUAGUAUGUCUCUGUGAUGAGAAUGCUACUAUAAUCUACUAAAAGAGUUAGGUGCGAUAGUUUUCAUUUUUUUUAAUGGUUUACAGUUAUUCAAAUUAUAACCUAGACCCACAAUUCUUUAAGGGUUCGGUAGAAGUGAUGUUGUUUCUCUAACACAAGAUAUGUAGGUUUGACAUUAUUUGUUUACAGGUAAAAUCUUAGAAUCUAGGAGCGAGAAUGGAGUGUUGGUAAAAAUAUGGUCCAACAUAGGUGGCAAUGGGGGCUGAUAGCAUGCUAACCCAAUAUGAAUUUGAAUUUUCACGUUUGGAUCUGCAAAAUUAGCCAAUAAUCUACCACCUACUAUAUUAUAUCUGGAUCCUAAAUGUAAAUCUGAAUCCUUAUCAAGUUGAGUUUGGAUGUAAGUUGAUUAAAUACUGUACCAUUACUCCAUAGCCAAACCAGUCAUAUACAUACAUACAUAGAUACAUACCAAUACAUAUGUAUACAUACAUGCAUGCAUGCACUAUAUUGCAUAAACUUGCAUUACAAGCAUGUGUGAUGUUUAUUACACUAAAAACUAUGAAAUCAAAGUAAACUAGUAUCCUGCACAUGCUUUGUAUGGAAGAAGAAAAGCCAUAAUUGGGAAAUGUAGCUGUGUGGGACGCCGUGUCCCCAUAAUCUUUCAGGAAAUGCAUUCUUUCCUGCUUCUAGUGGAGUCAUAAUGCCUUUUGGACACCUUUAACAUGCAAGACCCUGGAGUCAAACAUGCACAUGCUGGACUCGAACGCUUUCCCGUUAUAUUCAGUAGAGAUUUGUAAUUAUCUUAUGGUAUGAUCAGUUCAUUUGGGUGUCAACUGUUAGAGUUGUUAAAAUUUGUUUUUUUUGGUACAAGAGACUUGGGUUUGAUCUGCCCUCAAACCAAUAAUUGGUUGGGCUUCUACCUUCCUUUUUCUCAACAAAAUGAUCAAUUUAUUUUCAAGAAAAACUAGAGGAUAACUUAUUUCAAUAAUAGAAUAACAGAAAGAUAUUUUAAAAAAAAAUAAAAAAGAUAUUGUUGCCAAUGAAAUAUCCUCUCCCAGGGACUUUAGCGAUCCUAGGCAUCUUGUUAAAGUUAUAUUAGAAUAUCCUAGGCAUUUUGGUCAUCCUCUCUUGUAUUAUAUCAUUGGAUUUAAAGUCAAGCAGCCAUGUCAAAAGGAGAGGAGAAGUUUAAAUAGCUUUUCAAAAUAACUUCUCUUUUGUUUUGCAAUUCAGCAAAUAAUUGAAAUUGUAGUUAAUGCAAGAGAUAUAUUAACCUUGUUGGGAAAAGUAGAUAGAGAAAGAAAGAGGGCCAAUACUAAGAGUUCGUGUGAGAGGAUUCAGGGGUUAUAGUUCAAACAUGGAGGAGGGAGAAAUGGGAUUGUUGGGAUUGGAAGAGACACUCAACUUAGGUUGGGCCCAACCCAAAACCAACAACCCUAACCUGCUUGUUCGAUUGGAUUGGAUUGAGUGACUAUGAACUUUGGUUAGGUUUAGGCUCAAAAAUUCCAACCUCACUCCAAGUUGGAUUAUGUUCAGGUUGAGCAUAAACCCAUCCCAAACCUUAUUGCAACCCAACCUAAAUCCCGUUGAGUUAUAGAAUUGUGUGUUACUUUUUAUGCCAUUCAUCCAUCUAUCUUGGUUGAGGGUUAAAAGAUAUCCACACCUUUUCCUCUUUACUAAAAUUCCAACCUAGCUAAUAUAAACUUGAGACAGUUUUCUCAAGCCUUUCCUCAAUCUCAAAAUCUUGAUUCAACGUGACCUAACUUGACUAAACAGAACCAACCUGACGGCAAUCUGACAUAGCGUAUUAUAGUUUGGGUUGUUUAAAUCCCAAGCAAAAGUUGAGCUGAAUUGGGUUGGAUAUGAGAGUUUAGGAGGUUGCUUCGUUUUGGGGUUAGCUGUCAACCCGCCCCAACUUGUACCUAAGUUGCAGCCCUAGAGACGUGGUAAAAGAGGAAAAGUGGAUGAUCACAUAUGGCAUAUCACAUGUUCAGAGCUAGACAUUGACAUGCUUGUGGUAAUUGGGUAUGCACCUUGUGAAUCUCACUCACAUCCUUUGUGCGGUCACCAAUGAACUCCCAUAUCAGCAUGCAAACCUGUAUGCAUAUGUGGCAGCAGUUGGGCAUAUGAAUGCAUUUAAAGAAUAACUAGAUCAGAUUUUCAAUAGUUGCUAGAUGUUAUGAUUAUUCUCUUUCCUUUCUUAGUAGGAGGUAUUAUGGUAUUUUGUAAGAGUGUGGAGAAGGCUGAUCAGUUUAGGAUUAGAAAUUGAUGGGCAGGAAUCUACUUCUAAUUUUUAAAUAAUAUAUUUGAGUAUUCAUAUUAGAGGAUCGUGGCUAAGUUACUGUUUCUGUCUUUAUUGAGCUAAAUACAUGAAAUAAAAAAUAAUCUAGUUGGAUUAACCAAUCAACAGCAAGUUGGCUUGAUUAAGGUAAAUAAGUGAACUCAGAUGUAUUUUGGGAACGAAGUUGUUAGAUACUCCAGAAAUUCAAAACUCCAUUUUUAAUGUAACAUUGAUAUAUUUACUAUCUAUAUUUCAUCUACUCACAUUAACUGAGACAAAUCUCUCAACUCCCUUUCCCGUUUGGAGUUCCCUAUGUUUCUUCAUCCUUUCUUCAGAAUGGAGGCAGAGGUGGUUUGAUGAGCAUCCUUGUGUUGGAGAGAUGGAGAGGAGAUUGUUAGCAGAAUUAACACCACCCCCCACAACAACCACACCUCAAAUGUUUAAACCCUCAACCAAGAUAGGGUUCCAAAGAGCCCAACUAAUGGCCAUAAUAUUUUAUGCGUGCAUAGAGUGUAAAUUGAGUUGGGGUCUAACAUAUGUAGUUUGGAUUUGGCUAUGGAUAUACACCUGUUGGCACCCUUGCCUGUAAGUGGUGUCAUGAUUCUUGUCUUGACUUGACAAUGAACCCUUCUAGGAUAUAAGAACAAAUUUAUGUUUUGCAAGAAGCUCAAGCAUUGCGUGUUCCAGAACAAUUUUUUUCCAAAUCUAACGUGAGAGAUUAAAUACAUAAUAUCUGCCUGUGAUGUAAAAAAUUUGAUGAUCCUUCUAAGCACCUGGGGAUUGUGAAGGAUCCAAAAUUUUGAUGGAAAGUCAAUUCAUAUUGAGUCAUUGCUAUAUGGUGAAGCUCCAAGGUCUAAACUGCAAUAAAGAUUUUAAUAUGUGAAUACUUUUGAAGGUAUGAACACACUCAAAUAAUUAUUGAAAAGGAUUAUGAAAGAAAGGUAAUUUAACAGGAAGAGUAUCAUAGAGGAAAGACACUGUGUUUAAGGCAAGGUGUACUGGAUAUGUACUAGCGAGACAACUUGCACUGAUUGUGCUUGAAAAUGUAAAAGUUUCAUGAAGUGAUCAUUGUAGAGAAUGCAGUGAUUAGAGGGAUUCAUGAGAUGCUAGAAUACUCUGCAUAGAUCGGUAUAUAGCAUGAUGUUUAAUUCAACAGAUAGUAGCACUGAUCUUUACUUCAGAAUUGAUAACUUCCUUUUAUAUAAGAAAUUGCAGAUAAUGGCAAACUGAUGUAGAUUUUUAGCUGCUUAUGAGUUGUAAUCAUCUAGGCAAGUAUGGGUUGGCAUGAGGGAAUAUAAUUAUAUGGUGUUCUAAAGAUGUAUUAAUUUUGCAUGAAUUGGCAAAUAGUAUUUGGUCAUGUUAGAAUGCAUACUUCAGCUUUUUAUAUAUGCAUAUUAUGUGGGCAGCUGCUUUGAGCUCAAAGUUGAAAAAGCAAGCCAACUCCCUGUUUGGGCAUGCUCACCUCAUUGUGCAAUUGUAUCCAUUUGUAUAUGGAAGAGUAAUGAAAAUAUUAGUUAAAUUACGAGUAGUCUUAUAGUGCAAGAGUAUUCUGCAUAUUAGUUUACGAUAUUUGGUCUUGUUUCUGAGUAGGCUCUAUCAGCGCAUCUUUACUUAAAAAUCCGAGGUAAAGAAAAAUGUUGCCAGCUUCUUCUGUUG